UCCCAGAACCCCAGGAACCCAGGAUCCCAGGACCCCAGGAUCCUGACCUGAGCUGAGGGCAGAUGCUUAACCAACUGUGCCACCCAGGCACCCCUGUUCAGUUUUUUUUUUAAACUGGGUUUGUCUGUCUUCUUAUGGAAUUGACCCCUGGUACAAUGUUGAAGACAAUGGUGAUAGGAGUCGUGCUUGUCCUGUUUCCCAUGUUAUAAAAAAAAG